rnacentral:rRNA from 1 species
GACGAACGCUGGCGGCGUGCUUAACACAUGCAAGUCGAACGGAAAGGCCCUGCUUGCAGGGUACUCGAGUGGCGAACGGGUGAGUAACACGUGGGUGAUCUGCCCUGCACUUCGGGAUAAGCCUGGGAAACUGGGUCUAAUACCGGAUAGGAGCCAUUUUUAGUGUGAUGGUUGGAAAGUUUUUUCGGUGUAGGAUGAGCUCGCGGCCUAUCAGCUUGUUGGUGGGGUAAUGGCCUACCAAGGCGGCGACGGGUAGCCGGCCUGAGAGGGUGGACGGCCACAUUGGGACUGAGAUACGGCCCAGACUCCUACGGGAGGCAGCAGUGGGGAAUAUUGCACAAUGGGCGCAAGCCUGAUGCAGCGACGCCGCGUGGGGGAUGACGGCCUUCGGGUUGUAAACUCAUUUCGCUAGGGACGAAGCUUUUUGUGACGGUACCUAGAUAAGAAGCACCGGCUAACUACGUG